rnacentral:lncRNA from 1 species
CGCCAAAUCUUUCUCAACAUGGUCAUUCAGUGUUAGUUGUUCCAUUACUGGCAUAAGGUGUUGUCUCACUUCUUUCAUUAAACUUUCCACUAGAAAAUUUUCCAAUGGAAAGAACCAAAUUUUAGGUUGAAGGAAUGAUAGCCACGGAGGAAAUGUGAAGCGAAAAUCAUAUGCUUCUAGUAGGACUUGGUGGAAAGGACCAAAUUUUAGGCUGAAGGAAUGAUAGCCAUUGGGGAAAUCUGAAAUUAAAAUCAUAUGCUUCUAGUAGAACUUCAUUUGUGUAGUCCAUCAGGAGUUUAGGUUCAGAAUCACAUUGCAGUGCUAAUGUCUCCAGUUCAUCAGAUAACGU